GAUUUCUGGCGAGUCGCAUUUUGCCGGCCACGGUUUCGUGUGUUAGUGCUUGAUGUUCUGGCCAUCCUUCCAAUCGCUGCGCGUCCUUCUUCACUGAGGGGCGCGCGGUAUUGGAUCUUUUACUUUGAAAAAAUUAGAGUGUUUCAAGCAGGCUUUAUGCUAUGAAUACAUUAGCAUGGAAUAAUAAUUUAGGACUUCGGUUCUAUUUUGUUGGUUUCUAGGACUGAAGUAAUGAUUGAUAGGGAUAGUUGGGGGUGCUAGUAUUCAGCGGCCAGAGGUGAAAUUCUCGGAUUCGCUGAAGACUAACUUAUGCGAAAGCAUU
rnacentral:rRNA from 1 species